UUUACUUUUUCAUUUGGUGAAAUCACGUCGUAGCGAUCGUGAAGUAUAUUGGCCCACGUUGUUAGAUAAGCAGACUUGCGGUUCUGUGAUGGAAAAUUUAUUUUGAAACGUCCUAAUUGAGAGAAUGUCUAAGCUUCUGAAGAGCUAUUUUCGAGUUUUGGAGAAGCAUCCAUUGAUUACGAUGUCAUGUACCACAGGCACCUUAAUGGCCACAGGAGAUGCAAUAUCACAACUGGUAGUAGAGAGGACACAUAAAUUUGAUGUAGUUCGUAAUGGGAGAUUUCUAGUCUUUGGUGUAUUUAUAGGGGGUCCAAUGUUCAGGGGAUGGUACUAUUCUAUAGACAAGAUAUUUGGCAAAACCAAGUAUGCACCAAUGAAAAUGAUGAUAGCAGACCAGGGAGCUUUUGCACCUGUAUUCUUGCCAUUUUUCCUUUUCACCAUGGGAGUAAUGAGACAGGACCCAGUACAUGAAAUUAUAGAAAAAAUCAAGAAGGAUUAUUAUGAUGUCAUAACAACAAACUGGAAGAUAUGGCCAGCUGCUCAGAUAAUAAAUUUUACCUUUGUUCCUCUACAACACAGAAUUUUGGUAGUUAACAUUGUGUCUAUUGGCUGGAACUGCUACAUGGCCUGGAUCUCGGAGAAGGAACACGAGGAUGUGGUCCUACACCAUCACGAGCCCGACGCCGAGCAAAAAGUUGCCUCCCCAUCCGCCCCUCUGUCACCACAUAGAUCCGCUACCUGCUCAAAGAAAGAGAGAUGAAAAUCACCCGCCUUAUUACAUAAUUUAAUGUAAUCAGUAUGUGAUUUUUAAAUAGAUUCGAACCAGAUUUCUUUUUCUUCUCGAGGGAACAGAUUUAUCGUGGAUACUUAACUCAAGUUGCACAUUAAUGCAGUAAUUUUGUGGUUUGGACCAAACAAUAUUACUUUAUAAUGAAACUCAUACUGAUGCGUGAAUUUGUCGUCAUAUCUACACUGAAAUGAUAUGAAGUUGUUAUUAUAUACCGGUAUUGAAAGUGCUGACUUAUGUUAUACUUAUAGCAAGAUUUCUGUAGUUUGGAGAGAGUUUAUUUUUGGCAUUCACACUUUUAAUGGAGGUUCAAGCUUAUGUUUAAAAAAAACCGUGAACAUAUCAUAUGGUUGAUUUGAAAAAACAUAUAAUAUUGAAAAAUCCCCAAUGACCAUCCAAGCUUGGGGUGGAUUUUCAAAUGCUAGUAUAACGGCGAAACAUUUAAAGAUACGCAUUUAAUGAUAAUAUGCUUACCUGUUUAUAAUGUUUUCAACUUUUUAAGGAGUUAAUACUCAGAAAUAUAAACUAGUGCUCAAGCAGUCAAUAUGAAAUAAGCAUGGAGGAAAUAUAUAUUAAAUUUAAAGGAGUGUAUGCUUCUCUAACUUUUUAAGGAGUUAAUACUCAGAAAUAUAAACUAGUGCUCAAGCAGUCAAUAUGAAAUAAGCAUGGAGGAAAUAUAUAUUAAAUUUAAAGGAGUGUGUGCUUCUUCUGAAAUUGAUGCUAUAUGUUAUUUCCCCACACGGCAGGCACGUAGCAUCCCCACCGUUUGGGGAGCAUAUGUAAAAAAUUGAAGUGAAAGGAAGGAAUUAAGUGUGAAAUUAAAGUUUAAGGUACACAACAGCAGCAACACAAAAACAACAAUCCCAACAAGGAUUUUGGGAUUUGAUAUUUUUUUUAUCAUUUUUUUAAUCAUUAUUGUUACUUUUUUUUUUUGCUUGUCAAGAUUUUUUAAUGAGUAUGCCCCCAUCCCCUUUCCGCUUUCAAAAACGAUUCUACGUGCUUGCACAGUGUUGUUAAUUAGGAGGCAUUCAUAGCUCGAGCACGUGUAUUUUCUAGUCCAAAUUAACUGCCUUUAGUUUAGAAUUGGUCAAUUGGAACAUCGCUCGGCCUUUUCCAUCAAAUCGACUUGUCAGAGAAGGCCAAGCGAUGUUCCGAUUGUAAUUUAAAGGGACCUGGACACGAUUUCAGAUGAAAAUUUUAUUUUUGAUUUCUAUGUAUAAAAAAGUUACUUAUUAUUUUGAAUGAUUCGCCAAAAUGUGGAUGCUACAAGUCACGUUACAAGCGAGAUACAGGGGAAAAAAUUCGUUAUGUAAACAAAGCUCGAGUCUUAUAUUUGUUUACGAAUACUGUAAAGUAAAGAAAUUGCCAUUUCUUUAUCAAAAUAACUUGUGUAAACAAGACAGACUGAUUCACUAGGUUCAUAAAAAAUUUCAUUACAAAAAACAGCAACAUUAGAUUGAACUUUAUACCAGUACAACAAAUAUGUAAAUAUUAGCAGGACUCUAGCUUUGUUUACAAAACAAAGAAUUCUUACCUCUGCAACUCGCUUGUAACUCGAUAUUUGACUUUCAAAUUUUGUCAAACUAUUAAAAACAUCUAUAUUAAUAAUUCGAGACAAAAAUGUUGAAAAAAAUAAAUUUUGACAAUGUUGAGCUCAAAUCGUAUCCAAGUCCUUUAAAGGUGUUUUCUUAAGGUUGUCAAAUCCGAUUAAAAUUUAAAAUUACUUGUUCUGAUACGCGGUAUAGCUUAUUAAAACAGUUUUGAUUAAAUUGAAGGUUGUACAGUUUUGCCUCCAGCGAAUUUCGUUGAAAUCAUUUUCAAACGUUUUUUUCACAUGAGACACAAAUACUCCUAUUUAUUUAGGACUAUUACGAAGAGAUAUUAAAAGGAAAACUCAAUUUAACUUCAUGUACAUGUAUGUUGGUGCUUUUACAUUAAUUCUAGAUUUAUAUUUUUAAAAGUGUUGUUUUAUUCCUUGUAUUUUGUACUGUGUGCAGUUUCAUUAUCUAUUGCUUACAAUGUUACGAGGAAGUACAUGUAGAAGAAAAAACCAUAUAUAUAUAUAUAUAUAUAUAUAUAUAUAUAUAUAUAUAUAUAUAUAUUUGUGAAAGGUCACACAGUAUAAAUAAUCAAAAAAGAAAAUGAACAAUUCCAAAGUGUCUAUUCACUUAAUAAAAACUUUGGAACUGUUCAUUUUCUUUUUCAUUUUUUAUUUUAUAUAUAUGUUUUUUAUUGGACUAAAAUGUUAGUUAUAGCCUUGAAUUUAAAUUUUGUUUGUUCAUUUUGUUAACAUUUCUUUUUUUUCAUAACAUCUAUUUUGAUUAUUUUAAAAUGAGUAAUUGAAUGGUCACGGCAGACCAUCCCAUCCAGCCACUGAUUGUUUGAAUUUUUAAGAUUAUGUAUUUUUUUUUUUGGUAUUCAAAAGUCGACGUAAUAUAUAUAGACUGAAAAUAUGGUCGACUUAAUCAUAGUUGAUUAAAAAUGAAUUAAAAUUCAAAACUAUAGAUGCCCUUCUCAAAUGAUCUGAUUUUUUAAUUUCGUUUACAUAGCAAAGAAUGUUAUCCGUGGGCAAAACAACAAAUAUUGUUGGGUGUUAUCUUUUAUGUUGGUCCAUAAAUUUAUGUUUGUUUUCCAUUAUAUUUAUAGGGCUCAUAUUGAGCUGCUUACUUUUGAUACUCUUUUAUUUUCAUGUAUUUAUUUUUAUUAUUUAAGCAUAAUAUUGUGUAACUUUCACAAUUUUUGAUGCGGGUGAAUACACGGGAUGAGUGUUGUGUAAUUGUGAGUUUACCAUCUAACUUGUAUACCGAGUAUUAUGCUCAUUUUUGUUUAAGUCUUCACUUACAUGCAAGUUCCCCAAUACGAUUAAAGUAUGCUAUUAUCUGA